AGCUUUUCGAAUCCGUGCAGAUUUCGUCGGACACCAAACCAUUACGGCUGAUCAGACUUCCAAGAUAAGCGAAGUU
rnacentral:pre_miRNA from 1 species